GCUGCUGAGGGCAGGGGAACGCCAGGCUGCGCCUAGGGCCGCCGGCAGGCUGGCGGCCCGGCGGAGGGCGCCCCGCGCCCCGCCGGCAUCCCCCGCCCCAGCGCUGCUAGGAGCCCGACUUCUCCGGCUUCUGCAGAUCUCAGCCCACCCGGGGCUGCAGUCUCGGCGGCCAGACUCUCCGCGCCGAGAGUGAUCGGAGCGUUCUAGUCACCCCAAAGACGAGAGGCUUUAAAGCGAGCCGCGGGCGGCACGGAGCAGCGUGUGCAGGGAACCGCGGCGUGCGGCGCGUGGGCUCAGAGCGCUCCUGGCCGCGAGGCAGCGGCGCUGGAGGGGAGGAACGCGGCCGGCCGGCUCCCAUAUGGCUCAACAUGGCCAGAGACUGGGGGCUGGACAAAGAACCCGAAGACAAUGGAGCAGGACGUAAGAGACAGAAGGAUUAGAAGAGUUGCAGGGAGAACCUGACUAAUACGACAGCCAUGCAUGAGGUGAGACUGUGGGCAUUGGGCAAGUACAGAGAAACUGCUAGAAAAUGUAGCCUGUUACAGGUUUAGGCCCAACUUGUCUAGGCCUCUGCCCCAUUUAUUGCAGAAAAUGCUGGCAUCUUUAGCUUCUGUGGAACCCAGCAUAUCACAGACAACAUCACAGAGAGAGAGACAGCUAGAGAGGGAACACGAGCAGGGGCAGA